UUGAAUAGUCACAUGUAACAUUGUCUUUAAAUGUGGUCCAUGAUCCAUGGUAGAAGGACUACUAAUAAUUAAAGUUAGUGAAGAAUUUAUUUUCUUUUUUAUGUGCUAAAAUAAGAUUUUUUUUUUCUUUUUUUCAAAAGAAAAUUAAAUGAAUAAAACUACUAUUCACAAAUCUUAUCGCGAGUCUCAAGUAGUAGGCUAUAUAAAUAGAUGAUGAUGGCGUUAAAAGAAGUACUCAUAUCCUCAAAUAAGAAUAUACCAUAUUUAUUACCUAACCACACACACUUCUCUUCUCUCUUUCUUUACUCACAAAAAGGCCUCUCACUCACUCAAAUUGAUGAAUAUAAUGUGGUCUUUUCUUCUCAAAAAUGGAACACCAUUGCUGGAGUAUUCAGAGGCAAACUCCAAUAAGAAUUCGCAGAGCACGUGAAGUAUAUUCAUGGAAUACUCAUUUGAGCAAGAUAAUACAACUCACUUGUAUUUUUGAAGGUCAAGAAGUUUUUAUGGCUUCACAACCUCGUCUUCGGACCUUCAAAUUCAACUAUCCUAUAGAUGUUUUUUUUAUUAAUUACGCAAAUUAAUAUAUUAUUAAAAUUAAGAAGUUAAUAUUUAUGUAAACGUAUAUUUAGAAGAUUAAGUUUUUCAAAAGAAAAUAAAAUAGCUCUACUAGUGUCUUGCCCGGCCAAAAA